rnacentral:rRNA from 1 species
UGGGGAAUAUUGGACAAUGGGCGAAAGCCUGAUCCAGCCAUGCCGCGUGUGUGAAGAAGGUCUUCGGAUUGUAAAGCACUUUAAGUUGGGAGGAAGGGCAGUUACCUAAUACGUAUCUGUUUUGACGUUACCGACAGAAUAAGCACCGGCUAACUCUGUGCCAGCAGCCGCGGUAAUACAGAGGGUGCAAGCGUUAAUCGGAAUUACCGGGCGUAAAGCGCGUGUAGGCGGGUCGUUAAGUUGGGGGUGAAAUCCCGAGGCUCAACCUCGGAACUGCCUUCAAAACUGGCGACCUGGACCUAAGUAGAGGCAAGUGGAAUUGCGAGUGUAGAGGUGAAAUUCGUAGAUAUUCGCAGGAACACCAGUGGCGAAGGCGACUUGCUGGACUUAUGGUGACGCUGAGACGCGAAAGCGUGGGGAGCAAACAGGAUUAGAUACCCCCGUAGUCCCUGAGCGGGCUGGCAAGGCGCAU